GAUGAACGCUAGCUACAGGCUUAACACAUGCAAGUCGAGGGGCAGCAUGUCGGUUGCUUGCAACCGAUGAUGGCGACCGGCGCACGGGUGAGUAACGCGUAUCUAACCUACCCUUGUCCAUCGGAUAACCCGUCGAAAGGCGGCCUAACACGAUAUGCGGUUCACCGCAGGCAUCUAAGGUGAACGAAAUGUGAAGGAGAAGGAUGGGGAUGCAUCUGAUUAGCUUGUUGGCGGGGUAACGGCCCACCAAGGCGACGAUCAGUAGGGGUUCUGAGAGGAAGGUCCCCCACAUUGGAACUGAGACACGGUCCAAACUCCUACGGGAGGCAGCAGUGAGGAAUAUUGGUCAAUGGACGGGAGUCUGAACCAGCCAAGUAGUGUGCAGGACGACGGUCCUAUGGGUUGUAAACUGCUUUUAUAGGGGGAUAAAGUGUGCCACGUGUGGCAUAUUGCAGGUACCCUAUGAAUAAGGACCGGCUAAUUCCGUGCCAGCAGCCGCGGUAAUACGGAAGGUCCGGGCGUUAUCCGGAUUUAUUGGGUUUAAAGGGAGCGUAGGCCGUCUUAUAAGCGUGUUGUGAAAUGUCGGGGCUCAACCUGGGCAUUGCAGCGCGAUCCGUGAGACUUGAGUGCGCAGGAAGUAGGCGGAAUUCGUCGUGUAGCGGUGAAAUGCUUAGAUAUGACGAAGAACUCCGAUUGCGAAGGCAGCCUGCUGUAGCGCAACUGACGCUGAAGCUCGAAAGCGUGGGUAUCGAACAGGAUUAGAUACCCUGGUAGUCCACGCGGU
rnacentral:rRNA from 1 species